rnacentral:rRNA from 1 species
CCAAUAGCGUAUAUUAAAGUUGUUGCAGUUAAAAAGCUCGUAGUUGAACUUCGGGGUUUACCCAUUGGUCAGGCUUAAUUGUCUGUACUGGUGAGAUAAAUCUCUACCUUCUGAGGAACUUUCAUGCCAUUUAGUUGGUGUGAUGGGAAAUCAGGACUGUUACUUUGAAAAAAUUAGAGUGUUUAAAGCAGGCUAACGUCUGAAUACAUUAGCAUGGAAU